UACGUAGGGGGCGAGCGUUGUCCGGAUUUAUUGGGCGUAAAGAGCGUGUAGGCGGCCAGGUAGGUCUGCUGUGAAAACUCGAGGCUCAACCUCGAGACGUCGGCGGAAACCAUCUGGCUAGAGUCCGGAAGAGGAGAGUGGAAUUCCUGGUGUAGCGGUGAAAUGCGCAGAUAUCAGGAGGAACACCGGUGGCGAAGGCGGGUCUCUGGGCCUUACCUGACGCUCAGGCGCGAAAGCUAGGGGAGCGAACUGG
rnacentral:rRNA from 1 species